rnacentral:misc_RNA from 1 species
UCCAACCAACAAAUCGUUUUACGGUUGUAUUUAUUUUGUGCUCCGUGAAAAAUAUUUAUUUUUCACCCGUCCUUUUAUGAAAAAUCAUCAAAAAAUGGAGCAGUUGAAUGCGUUAGAAAAUGAAAUCAAAGAGUUGCGCAAAACUUUAAUGGAAAAGGAAAGAGAGUUUGAGAAACUACGGAAAGAAUUGUUUAUUAAUCAGACAGAAAUAAGUCCAGGUUUACAGACUAAAGAGACUGAGUCUAUGGUCAAAUGUGGGCAGCUACCCAAAUGGGCUAUAGAAAGAUAUAGCCGACAGAUUCUACUCCGAGAUAUAGGGGUGUCAGGUCAGGCUCGCAUCUGUCAGGCUAGAGUGCUGAUAGUAGGUGCUGGAGGCCUCGGAUGCCCAGCGGCGGUGUAUCUUGCUGCAGCUGGUGUUGGAGAGAUUGGUAUAAUAGACUAUGACGUGGUGGAGAUCACUAACAUACACAGACAGAUUCUACACUACGAACACGAUGAGAAUACCAGUAAGGCUGAGUCAGCUGCCGCUACGCUUAGAAGCAUAAACUCCCGUAUAAAAGUAACUCCGUACAACGUGCAGCUGGACUCUAAGAACGCGCUGGAGAUAGCCAAGGACUAUGACGUUUUACUGGACUGCACCGACAAUGUGCCAACUCGGUACCUGCUCAGUGAUCUUAGCUGUCUCACUAAGUUACCGCUUAUAUCGGGCAGUGCACUCAAAAUGGAGGGUCAGCUGACGAUAUACGGGUAUAGGAGCGAUACACAUACUCUGCAGAAGGGCAGCACAUACAGGGGUCCAUGUUACCGCUGCGUGUUUCCCUCGCCCCCCGCGCCUGACGCGGUGGGCUCGUGCUCAGCGCAUGGCGUCGCCGGCCCCGUGCCCGGGCUCAUAGGUACACUGCAAGCGAUGGAAGCUAUAAAGUGCAUCCUGGACGUGUCGCCGCGCAAGCUGCUCGUCGAGAGAAUGUUCAUAUUCGAUGCAGAAGACAUGACUGCUAAGACUGUGCAGCUACGUAAGCGCAACUCGAUGUGCGCGGCGUGUUCCGAUAGUCCCACCAUCACGCAUCUCGUCGACUACGAGGCCUACUGUAAGGCGCCUGCUAAUGAUAAGAAAAAACAAGAAUUCCGCCUAAAAUCAGAAAGAAGAAAACUCGAAAAAGAAAAACGUAUGACUGGACAGAGUUAUUUUGGUUUUCGAACUCAGAAAGAUGGAGAGAAGACAGUUUGGAUACAAGAUGUAUUAAAAUCCGAAAGAAGAUUAAAACCUUCUUGUAAAUCCGAAUUUUGCACCAAGAGUGUUACCAGACACUGCAAUAAACUGACCCCUUCUGAUAGACAGAAGAUCUUCGAAGACUUCUGGCAGUUAGAAUGGCAGGACAAGAAGAAGUAUGUUCGUUCUUUAAUUGAUAAUGUCCCCGUUAAACGAAGGAGAAGUUCUCAUAAAGGCAUCGUCUCAAGAAAGGGCGAUUCAAAAAUCUAUCAUUUGAUUUUGAACGACGAAAAAGUUCAAGUUUGUAGAGUUACCUUUUUGAACACUUUAGGACUUAAAGAGGCCAUGGUACGGUGCUGGCUUGGCACUCGCACGAAGUGUGGUAACCCCAAAAGUCCUAUAAAAUCACAAAAUGUACUCCAAUACGUGGAUACCCUACCAAAAGUUGGCCCAAAAUGUCAGUUCUGUGUUUCUGAUAACACUAAUAUUAUGUACAUAGAUUUGAAUGUGAAAAAUCAAUUUCAGUUAUACAAUUUGUAUGUGAACGAAAUGAAAUCUAAAGGUAUUAAACCUGCUUCGAGGAAAACUUUCUCAAAAGUGCUCGUUAAGAAGAAUUUGAGGAUUUUUAAGCCUAAAAAUGAAAGAGAUGUCUGUGAUUUGGUGAAACAACAUAAUUUGCAGAGUUUCAGUUUUCAAGCUGAAAAAUGUGAUGGGUAUUAUUAUGAAAUACAUAAUUUGAAUGAACAGUGGCCUUGAUGAGAAAAAACUGACUAGCGGGGAUUUCAUAACGCAAAAUCUCCUGCGGGUGUUCAGGGGACGAGGAACGUUACUGUUUUCGCCCUGAUACGCUUUUUUUCCUCCUUCUGCGAAGCAGUCAUGCUCGGAAGGAGGAGGCGGAACGCCAGAGAGUUGGCACCUCUCAUCCCGGCCGCCGCGCUGGACCAGGUAGACACCACGGGCGUGUCGUUGGGGUGUCGCGAGACGACUCCCGGCCACCGUAGGCGUGGGUCUGUGGGCGGUGAGUUCGGGUGGCACAUCGCUCAUGUCUAGAUAGACAACAGACCCGUGUCGGCGGCGCACGUUGUUCCACGCGUGAGUCAAAGAGAUGUCAGCAACCCCAGCGGGGCCCAACAGGGCCAAGGUCUGCCGGGGCUGCGGGAUUGUAAUUGCGAAAUUUCACAGCUCAUUUGCUAGCGAACAAUAGUUUAAAAAACACGCUUUUAGCACGUCCGCCAUAUUGGGGAGGCCGCCAUAUUUUAUUUGUAAUGACGUUUCUUAGCUAGUCAUUGUAUUGUCAUCGGAAUUCAGAGUGUGUGCAAAGUUUCAUCCUCAUCGAAGACCGGGAAGUGAGUUAAAUUAAGAUUCCAAGAUUUUCUUACAUACAUAGUUACAAGUGAAGCUAAUGUAAGCGUGUUAAAAAUCUGUGUAAGCGUUGACGCGAGUCCACAGCUAGCAUGUGUUUGCUCACAAAUAUUGUAAUUUCGCGUACAUUUUAGAUAUGUUCGCAUGUGCCUUAUUGAACUUGUUAAGUUUAAAAAAAAUAUAUAGUAAGUGUAAUUUGUUGAAUAGUCAGUGGCGGAUUUACCAAUAGGCCAAGUAGGCCAGUGCCUAGAGCGGCAGAUUUAGAGGGGCGGCAAAUUUAGCAAUUUUUUUUACAGGUUUUUUUUAUAAUUGAGUAUAUGAGUACACAAUCUAUAUAUAAAUAGACGAUUAAUAAACGCAAAAUUAAUAAACUGUAAUAUAUACUUAGGUACCUACUUACGUGAUCAUGAAUUUUAAAAUAUUCUAAUAGCGUUUCAAUAAAAAUAAAAUAAAAAAUCCGCUCGCUUCGCUCGCGGUUUCGCGGCUUCUUUCGUAAUUCCUGGUUUGUUCUGCGCUCUUUCGAGUCCUCAAUCUAACAAAAAGUUAAAGCACCGAAGUAGCAAAAACAACUGACGCUCUAAACUGACGAUUCCUAAGCUGUUUAUGAGGUGGAGGACUUUUGUGUCCCAAAACUCGAAAAAUUUCGCGCUCGCUGCGCUCUCAGCUUUUUCACUUUACACUGGUUUUUUUCAAACUUCUUUGAGUA